rnacentral:lncRNA from 1 species
CGGGUGUGGGGGGGGGCGGGGAUGAGGGAGCGGGGCGGGGCAGCCGGUGCACCAGACAGGGGGAGCCGAGCGGGAGGGGGGUGAGGGAGCGGAGCAGGGGUGAGGGGGUGAGGGGGGGCGGUGUGCGGAGCCGGGCCGUGGCGGGCACCGGAGCCGGGGUAGGGGGGUGCGGAGCUGCGGCGGGCGGGGGUGCAGAGCCGGGCGGGGGGGCGAUGCGGAGCCGUGCGGGGGUGCGGAGCUGCGGGGCGGCCCCUGGGGCGGCGGCACUUGGAGGUCGGGGUGUCGGCGGGGCCCGGGCCCCGCCCCCGCCCCCGCCCCCGCCGCGCUCCCCGCCCCGCCCCAGGCCCGCCGCCCAGCGCGCUCCGCGCCCCCCCGCCCCCGCCCGUCGCCCCACUGUCCCGGGUGCUGCUGCCUCACGGCAGGAAACACAACCCAGGAGUUCGGGAGGGGAGCCCCCGCGGCCCCCCCAUGCCCUCCUCCCCCCCCCGCCCUCCCCCCCCCCCCGCCCCGACCCCAGGGGCCCUGCCCUCCCCUCCAGCCUGCCCUGAGCGCACGUCUGUUUCAUGCUUCUCUAUCCACAAACACUCAAGGACGUUUUUCAAGUUUGCUCCUGCAGACACAAGGCCCCUAAGCGAACUGUCUCCCCCCGCGGCCGCCCGCCCGGCUCAGGCUCCCGCGGCGGGAAAAGCCUCCCGACGCCCGCGAGGCGCCCUGGGUGGGCUGCGGCUGCGACGCCCCGCGAGGCUCCCGCCCCGGGGACCUUAGGGACGCCUCCCCGCCUCGCGCGGAGACACGGACGCCCAGACGGGACACACCAGCGGAGAUCGUCCAGAUUUAGACGUGAUGGGAUUGUAGGCCUCGGAAGCCCAGAUGUGGUGUUUCGAAAAAAUAAACCCUGCAGGACGUUAGGUGGACCGUCCACUGGAUUGCUGGGUGUGCCGCGGGGAGAGCGCCAGAAAUGCCUCCUACGGACUGUGCGGGCCACGUUUUGGGUUCGGCCAUAUGGGGCCACCCGUGCGGGGCUGACAAGGCAAUAG